AUUGAACGCUGGCGGUAUGCUUAACACAUGCAAGUCGCGCGAGAAAAGGGGGGCAACUCCCUGAGUAAAGCGGCGCACGGGUGAGUAACACGUAGGUAAUCUACCCUCGAGUCCAGGAUAACCCGCCGAAAGGUGGGCUAAUACCGGAUAUGACCACGGGAGUUUCGGCUCCUGCGGUGAAAGGUGGCCUCUGCUUGCAAGCUACUGCUCGGAGAUGAGCCUGCGGGCCAUUAGCUAGUUGGUGAGGUAACGGCUCACCAAGGCGAUGAUGGCUAGCUGGUCUGAGAGGAUGGCCAGCCACACUGGGACUGAAACACGGCCCAGACACCUACGGGUGGCAG
rnacentral:rRNA from 1 species